AGGUUUGUGGCUCAAUGAUGGAGCGUUCACCUAGAAUGUGUAAGGCUCUGGGUUCGAGCCCCAGCACUA
rnacentral:tRNA from 1 species